rnacentral:tRNA from 1 species
UUCCUGGUAGCUUACAUGGUAAAGAAUCUGCCUGUAAUGCAGGAGACCUGGGUUCAAUCCCUGGGCUGGGAA